rnacentral:rRNA from 1 species
GACAGAGGGGGCAAGCGUUGCUCGGAAUUACUGGGCGUAAAGGGCGCGUAGGCGGGAUGGCAAGUCGGUCGUGAAAUCCCUCGGCUCAACCGAGGAACGUCGAUCGAUACUGCUGUUCUUGAGGAUUGCAGAGGAGACUGGAACUCCCGGUGUAGCGGUGAAAUGUGUAGAGAUCGGGAGGAACACCGGUGGCGAAGGCGGCCGACUGGGCCGACCCUGACGCUGAGGCGCGAAGGCGUGGGGAGCGAACGGG